GCUAUGGCUCAGAGCUACAGCCCCUGCCUUGCAUGCAGAAGGUCACUGGUUCAAUUCCUGGUAUCUCCA